GAUGAACGCUGGCGGCGUGCCUAAUACAUGCAAGUCGAGCGAACGGACGAGAAGCUUGCUUCUCUGAUGUUAGCGGCGGACGGGUGAGUAACACGUGGAUAACCUACCUAUAAGACUGGGAUAACUUCGGGAAACCGGAGCUAAUACCGGAUAAUAUUUUGAACCGCAUGGUUCAAAAGUGAAAGACGGUCUUGCUGUCACUUAUAGAUGGAUCCGCGCUGCAUUAGAUAGUUGGUAAGGUAACGGCUUACCAAGGCAACGAUGCAUAGCCGACCUGAGAGGGUGAUCGGCCACACUGGAACUGAGACGCGGUCCAGACUCCUGCGGGAGGCAGCAGUAGGGAAUCUUCCGCAAUGGGCGAAAGCCUGACGGAGCAACGCCGCGUGAGUGAUGAAGGUCUUCGGAUCGUAAAACUCUGUUAUUAGGGAAGAACAUAUGUGUAAGUAACUGUGCACAUCUUGACGGUACCUAAUCAGAAAGCCACGGCUAACUACGUG
rnacentral:rRNA from 1 species